rnacentral:rRNA from 1 species
CUAAUGCCGCAUACGACCUACGGGUGAAAACGGGGGACCUUCGGGCCUCGUGCUAUUGGAUGAGCCCAUGUCGGAUUAGCUUGUUGGUGAGGUAACGGCUCACCGAGGCGACNAUCCGUAGCUGGUCUGAGAGGAUGGCCAGCCACACUGGGACUGAGACACGGCCCANACUCCUACGGGAGGCAGCAGUGGGGANUUUUGGACAAUGGGCGAAAGCCUGAUCCANCGACNCCCCGUGUGUNAANAAGGCCUGCGGGUUGUAAANCAC